rnacentral:rRNA from 1 species
AGAAUCAACGCUGGCGGCGUGCCUAACACAUGCAAGUCGAACGAGAAAGUGGAGCAAUCCACAAGUAAAGUGGCGCACGGGUGAGUAACACGUGACUAACCUACCCUUGAGUGGGGGAUAACCUGGAGAAAUCUGGGCUAAUACCGCAUAAUACCUUCGGGUCAAAGGAGCAAUUCGCUUAAGGAGGGGGUCGCGGCCGAUUAGUUAGUUGGCGGGGUAAUGGCCCACCAAGACUAUGAUCGGUA